rnacentral:lncRNA from 1 species
AAAAUGUUUUGGACCGCAGAUUACUUUUCCGAUUUGGUGACCACCUGGAACCGGAUCGAAUUGAAUGAGAAGGAAUAUCAUCCAUACGUAAACUGUAUGCCAGAAAAGCUACGUUUCGAGACAAAAAAUGAAAAUUGGUGAUUACUGCAGCGGUGGCAAAAAAUCCAAACCACAUUCCAUCGUUCAAUACUGCUGCAAUCCAAUCAUCGCAACCGGCAUCCCGAUCUAGCGGAUUCUGUGAAAUAAUUCGUCUAUGUGACGGAUGGUUAAUCAGUGUUGAACGGAUCAAGAAGCACCGAAACUUGAGCAGUAGCUUCACCAGUUCCGAACAGUGUCCGGCGGACAUACAUCCAGCGGCUGGUCACAGACACAAAUAACCCGCUAAACGACCUGGUGAACUACGAAGAACGGCACCUUAAAAUCCAAUGGGAUCGGUUGGUGGAUGCGUUCGUGGCCGCCCUCAACGCAUGUGCAGGAGAAGAUUUGGUGGAUUUGAAGAAGCUAGGAAAGCUCACGUGAUCCUAAACAAACUGCCCGAGUCAAACUAUCCCAGCAUGCUAGCAGUCCUCAGUCAACUACAUCAGAGCGUUGAUGUUCGACAACUUUGUGAGCGGCCAAUGAGGCCAGACGUAGAAGCAGCUGUGGAAGGAGAUCGAUCUGCAGAUCUGCAGGCGCUGAAGGACCGAGAUCGUACCAUCCAGGCAUUUAGAGGAAAAUAUUGUAUACUUGAACGCUAUCUGUAGCUUGGUACGUUGGUUUAUGAGCAGGGUCACACGGUGACGUCGAACAAAAGCUUUGUGGAACAAAUCAGCGUAGAGGUAGACGGGGCAAGAUAAGCACCCUAAGAAUAAAGGGUCAAACACAAUGCAAUGGCAAAACAGCAACACCGAUUUGAAUAACAUGUCUUUGAUCAAUGUCGACUUGAUCAGAUUCAGCAUGGAUUUGACAAGAAGAGUGUAGAUCAAGAUGGGUGUUCCAUUUUACCGUUCACAUUGUGUUUGGGGUUUAAGUUUGAUUUAAGUCUACUUAAACGUUAUUAUUUUGGUAAAAUUAGUAAUCGUCCUUAUAUUUGACAUUAGGGUGGCGGUGCCAUUAGUGGACUACCUAAGCUAUAAAAAAUCAUAACAAAAUAACGGAAAGGCUUAACAGAGAUCUUUUGACGUCAACAGAAAGAUUUCAACCUCUACUAUAUGGGAAAAUAUAAAAAGAGUGAUAAAACUUAUUUUUAAACAUAAAAUCGCUUGAGCCACUAUUGGUACACGUGUUCCAGUAGUUGCGUUAGUGCUCCAGUAGUAGACGUUCGGGAAUUAUACAAAGAAUUUUUAACAAAAUGAUAAUUUUUUACAUAGGCUUAAUAUUUUUUCCCUCGGGCUCUUCUUCAUUUUUAAAGAUCCACUUUAAAACUGCUUCCAUCCGUUGAUCCACUACUGGAACACGACGGCAACUACUGGAACAAUGGAGCAAAUUUUUUGCAUAAACUUAAUUAUUUAUAUGGCUUUUUGAUAAAAUUAAAAGCAGAAAUUUGGUAAAUAGACUAAACUAGAGACCAUCUAUCCACCAAAAAUAGCCCAUGUCGUUUUUAUCGAAAAAUGUACGUUUUAUUCCAUAGUCCAAUCUACUGGUACAUUACAACCAUUGGAACCGGCACCCUACAUA